rnacentral:lncRNA from 1 species
GUGAUUGGCGCGCUUUCCCCUUGGUAGUAGGACGGUUUGGGUGUCUGUUGGGUUUGUUUUUGUUUGUUUGGGGUUUUUCUGGCUUCAGGGUUAAAAGGAAGGGAAAAGGCGUCGUUGGCAUCCCCAAGUUGUAAGUGGGUCAUGCAACACACUGCACCCAGAGCUUUCGGUGGUCUUAAAGCACAAGCCUUCUGCUCUGCGGCUAAAGUGUAAGCAGGGGCGCGAGCGCGAACAGCGUGUUGGUGACACCUCCCCGUCCCGAACUGCUUGUAGAACCAGAGCGUGAUAAAGAAGGUAUUUUAACUUCCAACAUAAAGGGGGGAACGGCUCUGAAAGCAGAGUUGAGUUUAGCACGUUGAGUCAGAAGCCUUUAAAUAAAACUGUCCAGGAGGAGUUGA